rnacentral:rRNA from 1 species
GUGUCAGCAGCCGCGGUAAUACGGAGGGUGCAAGCGUUAUCCGGAUUCACUGGGUUUAAAGGGUGCGUAGGUGGGCAAGUAAGUCAGUGGUGAAAUCUUUGGGCUUAACCCGAAAACUGCCGUUGAUACUAUUUGUCUUGAAUGUAGUGGAGGUGAGCGGAAUAUGUCAUGUAGCGGUGAAAUGCUUAGAUAUGACAUAGAACACCGAUUGUGAAGACAGCUCGCUACACUAUUAUUGACACUGAGGCACGAAAGCGUGGGGAUCAAACAGGAUUAGAAACCCUCGUAGUCC